CUGGACAUCAGAAAUCCUCGUUGCUCUCCCUAACAUCCAAUUGUGUUCACAUCCGCACUUUGACCAAGAGCCUAGGCCAAGGUGUCCCCUGACUGGCUGUGAACCCUUAUCAUCCUUGCUCCCAGGACCAGCUCCAACCACUUUACAGUGACACUGUGCCUGUAGAAACUCCCUCAUGGGCACCUACAUGUGUGAGAAUCCACACUGAAGCAUGGCAGGUGGAGCCAAGCCCAUCGGAGCAGCAGGCAGUCACCGCUGAGCCCCAGCAAGGGCCAGAGCCAGCAGUGCCCAGCCCCUCUGGAUCAGAGACACACUCGGUGUCCCCACAGCAGCUGACACAUGAGCCUGCCCUGGUUCCACACACUGGCAGAAGACACAGCGUCCAGAAGGCAAAGGACUUGACCCUCACAGCACAGCACACAGCGCAAACUCCACUUUUGUUCCAGUUCUCUAGAUCCAGUCUCCAUGGGCCCAGUGCAGACAGCCAGAUGAAUGCUGCUUUGUUGGUGCUGGAGCCGAGGUACAAAAUGGACCCCUCUUCUGCAGCUGCAUUGGUCCAGGACAUCCCCACCGUACAUAUACUGCAAAUGGUCUUUUCAUAGCCCCAAUUUCAUUAAAAAUUAAAGCUGGCUUUGGAGUUGGAAUGUGG
rnacentral:lncRNA from 1 species